UACGAAGGGGGCUAGCGUUGCUCGGAAUCACUGGGCGUAAAGGGUGCGUAGGCGGGUUUUUAAGUCAGAGGUGAAAUCCUGGAGCUCAACUCCAGAACUGCCUUUGAUACUGGGAAUCUUGAGUAUGGAAGAGGUGAGUGGAACUGCGAGUGUAGAGGUGAAAUUCGUAGAUAUUCGCAAGAACACCAGUGGCGAAGGCGGCUCACUGGUCCAUAACUGACGCUGAGGAGCGAAAGCGUGGGGAGCGAAGAGGA
rnacentral:rRNA from 1 species